rnacentral:rRNA from 1 species
GUGCCAGCCGCCGCGGUAAGACAGAGGGUGCAAACGUUGUUCGGAAUUACUGGGCGUAAAGCGCGUGUAGGCGGCCUCGCAAGUCGGGUGUGAAAGCCCUGGGCUCAACCCAGGAAGUGCACUCGAUACUGCAAGGCUUGAGUUCCGGAGAGGAAAGCGGAAUUCUCGGUGUAGAGGUGAAAUUCGUAGAUAUCGAGAGGAACACCGGUGGCGAAGGCGGCUUUCUGGACGGCGACUGACGCUGAGACGCGAAAGCGUGGGGAGCAAACAGGAUUAGAAACCCGAGUAGUCC